GACGAACGCUGGCGGCGUGCUUAACACAUGCAAGUCGAACGAUGAACCCGGAGCUUGCUCCGGCGGAUUAGUGGCGAACGGGUGAGUAACACGUGAGUAACCUGCCCUUGACUCUGGGAUAACUGCGGGAAACUGUAGCUAAUACCGGAUACGACCCUCGGCGGCAUCGCCAGGGGGUGGAAAGAAUUUCGGUCAAGGAUGGACUCGCGGCCUAUCAGCUAGUUGGUGAGGUAACGGCUCACCAAGGCGACGAAGGGUAGCCGGCCUGAGAGGGUGACCGGCCACGCUGGGACUGAGACACGGCCCAGACUCCUACGGGAGGCAGCAGUGGGGAAUAUUGCACAAUGGGCGCAAGCCUGAUUCAGCAACGCCGCGUGAGGGAUGACGGCCUUCGGGUUGUAAACCUCUUUUAGUAGGGAAGAAGCGAAAGUGACGGUACCUGCAGAAAAGGCACCGGCUAACUACGUGCCAGCAGCCGCCGUAA
rnacentral:rRNA from 1 species